AGUGAACGCUGGCGGUAGGCCUAACACAUGCAAGUCGAACGGCAGCACAGUAAGAGCUUGCUCUUACGGGUGGCGAGUGGCGGACGGGUGAGGAAUACAUCGGAAUCUACUUUUUCGUGGGGGAUAACGUAGGGAAACUUACGCUAACACCGCAUACGACCUACGGGUGAAAGCAGGGGAUCUUCGGACCUUGCGCGAUUGAAUGAGCCGAUGUCGGAUUAGCUAGUUGGCGGGGUAAAGGCCCACCAAGGCGACGAUCCGUAGCUGGUCUGAGAGGAUGAUCAGCCACACUGGAACUGAGACACGGUCCAGACUCCUACGGGAGGCAGCAGUGGGGAAUAUUGGACAAUGGGCGCAAGCCUGAUCCAGCCAUACCGCGUGGGUGAAGAAGGCCUUCGGGUUGUAAAGCCCUUUUGUUGGGAAAGAAAAGCGGCAGGUUAAUACCCCGCUGUUCUGACGGUACCCAAAGAAUAAGCACCGGCUAACUUCGUG
rnacentral:rRNA from 1 species